UGAGUAACCUGCCCUUAACUCUGGGAUAAGCCUGGGAAACUGGGUCUAAUACCGGAUAUGACUCCUCAUCGCAUGGUGGGGGGUGGAAAGCUUUUUGUGGUUUUGGAUGGACUCGCGGCCUAUCAGCUUGUUGGUGAGGUAAUGGCCUACCAAGGCGACGACGGGUAGCCGGCCUGAGAGGGCGUCCGGCCACACUGGGACUGAGACACGGCCCAGACUCCGUACGGGAGCAG
rnacentral:rRNA from 1 species